CAAGUAUAGAUAAAACAUCGCACACGUAUCGCAACCAGUUACUGGGUGCUUUUUUCUGUGAAGAUUAAAGUAGGUAAUUGGGGUACGUGGAGGCUUAAC
rnacentral:sRNA from 1 species